rnacentral:rRNA from 1 species
UACGAAGGGGGCGAGCGUUGUUCGGAUUUACUGGGCGUAAAGGGCGCGCAGGCGGCGCAUUUUGUCAGGCGUGAAAGCCCCGGGCUUAACCUGGGAACUGCAUUGGUGACUGGCAGGCUUUGAGUGUGGCAGAGGGAGGUAGAAUUCCACGUGUAGCAGUGAAAUGCGUAGAGAUGUGGAGGAAUACCGAUGGCGAAGGCAGCCUCCUGGGCCAACACUGACGCUCAUGCACGAAAGCGUGGGGAGCAAACAGG